CCCUUAGAUGUCCUGGGCCGCACGCGCGCUACACUGAUGCAUUCAACGAGUAAUUAUUCCUUGGCCGAGAGGCCUGGGUAAUCUUUUAAACGUGCAUCGUGAUAGGGAUAGAUUAUUGCAAUUAUUAAUCUUGAACGAGGAAUUCCUAGUAAACGCAGAUCAUCAAUCUGCAUUGAUUACGUCCCUGCCCUUUGUACACACCGCCCGUCGCUACUACCGAUUGAAUGGUUUAGUGAGAUCUUCGGAUUGGCGCCACUGCGGCUCAGCAAUGGGCUCGGUGGAUGCCGAAAAGUUGAUCAAACUUGAUCAUUUAGAGGAAGUAAAAGUCGUAACA
rnacentral:rRNA from 1 species